UACGAAGGGGGCUAGCGUUGUUCGGAAUCACUGGGCGUAAAGCGCACGUAGGCGGAUCUUUAAGUCAGGGGUGAAAUCCUGGAGCUCAACUCCAGAACUGCCUUUGAUACUGAGGAUCUUGAGUUCGGGAGAGGUGAGUGGAACUGCGAGUGUAGAGGUGAAAUUCGUAGAUAUUCGCAAGAACACCAGUGGCGAAGGCGG
rnacentral:rRNA from 1 species